rnacentral:rRNA from 1 species
UGGGGAAUAUUGCACAAUGGGCGCAAGCCUGAUGCAGCCAUGCCGCGUGUAUGAAGAAGGCCUUCGGGUUGUAAAGUACUUUCAGCGAGGAGGAAGGCGUUAAGGUUAAUAACCUUGGCGAUUGACGUUACUCGCAGAAGAAGCACCGGCUAACUCCGUGCCAGCAGCCGCGGUAAUACGGAGGGUGCAAGCGUUAAUCGGAAUUACUGGGCGUAAAGCGCACGCAGGCGGUCUGUUAAGUCAGAUGUGAAAUCCCCGGCUCAGCCUGGAACUGGCAUUGAACU